GACGAACGCUGGCGGCGUGCCUAAUACAUGCAAGUGGGACGCAAGGGAACACACUGUGCUUGCACACCGUGUUUUCUUGAGUCGCGAACGGGUGAGUAACGCGUAGGUAACCUGCCUAUUAGCGGGGGAUAACUAUUGGAAACGAUAGCUAAUACCGCAUAAUAUUAAUUAUUGCAUGAUAAUUGAUUGAAAGAUGCAAGCGCAUCACUAGUAGAUGGACCUGCGUUGUAUUAGCUAGUUGGUAAGGUAAGAGCUUACCAAGGCGACGAUACAUAGCCGACCUGAGAGGGUGAUCGGCCACACUGGGACUGAGACACGGCCCAGACUCCUACGGGAGGCAGCAGUAGGGAAUCUUCGGCAAUGGACGAAAGUCUGACCGAGCAACGCCGCGUGAGUGAAGAAGGUUUUCGGAUCGUAAAGCUCUGUUGUAAGUCAAGAACGAGUGUGAGAGUGGAAAGUUCACACA
rnacentral:rRNA from 1 species